rnacentral:tmRNA from 1 species
GGGGAUGCAAGGCAUAGACAGAUGGAAUGUUUGAAGUGUUGCAUGCCGAGAAUGAAUACAACCUCGCUAAACUGUAUUCAAAUGUUAAUUGCAAAAUUAACUGCUAAAGCAAAGGUAUCUCCUUACUUCGGUAAGGCAGAUUUCGCCUUCGCUCCAGCAUUCGCGUAAGCGUAAGCUGGUGUCUUUCUUAUAGACUUCCGAUAUAUAAGAACAGGCAUAAUAUUAUCGGGAUAAGGAAUUAUUUGCUCACAUAAUUCAUGAAAAUCAAGAGCUCGAUUAGAAAAUAUUUUGUUCGCUUAAUAAUUUUCUAAUUUAAAACACUAAGCGCACUACGCAUGUAGAUUGCCCUUUAGAUACCCUUCUGCACACGAGUUCAAUUCUCGUCAUCUCCACAA